rnacentral:rRNA from 1 species
GGAGUUUGGUCCGUGUCUCAGUACCAAUGUGGGGGACCUUCCUCUCAGAACCCCUACUGAUCGUCGGCUCGGUGGGCCGUUACCCCGCCGACUGCCUAAUCAGACGCAUCCCCAUCCCUUACCGAUGAAUCUUUGCUCCUCGUUAGAUGCCCGCGAAGGAGAACAUAGGGCAUUAAUCCGACUUUCUCUGGGUUAUUCCCCUCGUAGGGGGCGAGGUUGCAUACGUGUUACUCACCAGUGCGCCGGUCGCCAUCGGGUGGUGUUGCCACCUCCCACUGCUGCCCCUCGACUUGCAUGUGUUAAGCCUGUCGCUAGCGUUCAUC